GUUUAUAUAAUAUAAAAAUUAUAUUUGACUUCCAAUCAAAAAAUCUAAACUUUUAGUAUAAAUA
rnacentral:tRNA from 1 species